GAUGAACGCUGGCGGCGUGCCUAAUACAUGCAAGUCGAGCGAACAGACGAGGAGCUUGCUCCUCUGACGUUAGCGACGGACGGGUGAGUAACACGUGGAUAACCUACCUAUAAGACUGGGAUAACUUCGGGAAACCGGAGCUAAUACCGGAUAAUAUAUUGAACCGCAUGGUGCAAUAGUGAAAGACGGUUUUGCUGUCACUUAUAGAUGGAUCCGCGCCGCAUUAGCUAGUUGGUAAGGUAACGGCUUACCAAGGCAACGAUGCGUAGCCGACCUGAGAGGGUGAUCGGCCACACUGGAACUGAGACACGGUCCAGACUCCUACGGGAGGCAGCAGUAGGGAAUCUUCCGCAAUGGGCGAAAGCCUGACGGAGCAACGCCGCGUGAGUGAUGAAGGUCUUCGGAUCGUAAAACUCUGUUAUUAGGGAAGAACAAAUGUGUAAGUAACUAUGCACGUCUUGACGGUACCUAAUCAGAAAGCCACGGCUAACUACGUG
rnacentral:rRNA from 1 species